CAGCAGGCGCGAAAACUUUACAAUGCUGGCAACAGCGAUAAGGGGACCUCGAGUGCCAGGUUACAAAUCUGGCUGUUGGGAUGCCUAAAAAGCAUUUCAUAGCAAGGGCCGGGCAAGACCGGUGCCAGCCGCCGCGGUAACACCGGCGGCUCGAGUGGUAACCGUUAUUAUUGGGUCUAAAGGGUCUGUAGCCGGCCGGAUAAGUCUCUUGGGAAAUCUGGCAGCUUAACUGUCAGGCUUUCAGGAGAUACUGUCUGGCUCGAGGCCGGGAGAGGUGAGAGGUACUUCAGGGGUAGGGGUGAAAUCUUGUAAUCCUUGAAGGACCACCAGUGGCGAAGGCGUCUCACCAGAACGGACCUGACGGCAAGGGACGAAAGCUAGGGGCACGAACCGGAUUAGAUACCCGGGUAGUCCUAGCCGUAAACGAUACUCGCUAGGUGUCGGCCACGGUGCGACCGUUGUCGGUGCCGUAGGGAAGCCGUGAAGCGAGCCACCUGGGAAGUACGGCCGCAAGGCUGAAACUUAAAGGAAUUGGCGGGGGAGC
rnacentral:rRNA from 1 species